UACGAAGGGGGCUAGCGUUGUUCGGAUUUACUGGGCGUAAAGCGCGUGUAGGCGGGUCGUUAAGUUGGGGGUGAAAUCCCGAGGCUCAACCUCGGAACUGCCUUCAAAACUGGCGACCUGGACUCAAGCAGAGGCAAGUGGAAUUGCGAGUGUAGAGGUGAAAUUCGUAGAUAUUCGCAGGAACACCAGUGGCGAAGGUGACUUGCUGGGCUUGUACUGACGAUGAGACGCGAAAGCGUGGGGAGCAAACAGG
rnacentral:rRNA from 1 species